rnacentral:rRNA from 1 species
CCAAUAGCGUAUAUUAAAGUUGUUGCAGUUAAAAAGCUCGUAGUUGAAUUUCGGGGUCAGUAGGUCGGUCGUGCCACUGGUAUGAACUGGUUUUACUGAUUCCUCCCUCUUGAAGAACUGUAAUGCCAUUAAUUUGGUGUUGCAGGGAAUCAGGACUGUUACUUUGAAAAAAUUAGAGUGUUUAAGGCAGGCUUUUAGCUUGAAUACAUUAGCAUGGAAUAAUGAAAUAGGACGUUUGAUCCUAUUUUGUUGGUUUCUAGGAUUGACGUAAUGAUUAAUAGGGAUUGUUGGGGGCAUUAGUAUUCAAUUGUCAGAGGUGAAAUUCUUGGAUUUAUUGAAGACUAACUACUGCGAAAGCAUUUGCCAAGGAUGUUUUCAUUAAUCAAGAACGAAAGUUAGGGGAUCGAAGACGAUCAGAUACCGUCGUAGUCUUAACCAUAAACUAUGCCGACUAGGAAUCGGAUGAUGUUUAUUUUUUAAUGACUCAUUCUGCGCCUUACU